GUGCAGGCAUUCGCAGCACAUAUGCUGAGACUGGUAGGAUGCAGGGAAGACUAGCCUGGCCCCUUGUGCCGGGAUGACACACACAUUUGUAAGGUGUUUCACAUUUUU
ensembl:snRNA U6 U6 spliceosomal RNA